rnacentral:tRNA from 1 species
GGAUUCGUAGCUCAGUUGGUUAGAGCGCGUGCUUCACAUGCACGAGGUCGCAGGUUCGAGCCCUGUCGAAUCCACCA